CCUACGGGUGGCAGCAGUGAGGAAUAUUGGUCAAUGGCCGUAAGGCUGAACCAGCCAAGUAGCGUGAGGGAAGACUGCCCUAUGGGUUGUAAACCUCUUUUAUGCGGGGAUAAAGGUGUCCACGUGUGGAUGUUUGCAGGUACCGCAUGAAUAAGGCACGGCUAAUUCCGUGCCAGCAGCCGCGGUAAUACGGAAGGUCCGGGCGUUAUCCGGAUUUAUUGGGUUUAAAGGGAGCGUAGGCCGGUCUGUAAGCGUGCCGGUAAAUUUUGUGGCUCAACCAGGAGAGUGCGGCGCGAACUGGUGUCCUUGAGUGCGCGAGAGGCAUGCGGAAUUCGUGGUGUAGCGGUGAAAUGCAUAGAUAUCACGAAGAACCCCGAUUGCGAAGGCAGCCUGCCGCAGCGUUACUGACGCUGAAGCUCGAAAGCGCGGGGAUCGAACAGGAUUAGAUACCCGGGUAGUC
rnacentral:rRNA from 1 species